rnacentral:sRNA from 1 species
UAUCCGUUAGGUGAGGUAACCACAGGGAUAAUCAGCUUUUAUGCUGAUAUUACGCUGUCUUUUACAGUUAAUGGGUUGCUGCCGCGAAAAUGUGGAGACACAUUCAGCCGGUUAGCAGACUAUGUCGAAACCAAGGCAUAAUCUAAUGCAACUUCACGCCCUGCGAUGCCAAAGCUCAUACGGUGGCA